rfam:Lactobacillus fabifermentans T30PCM01 genomic scaffold scaffold31, whole genome shotgun sequence.
GAAAAAAAGCAGAAGCACCCGCUUCUCGCCUUGGUAACCAUUGUUAUCGGGCAGAUGAACGAUGAAUUGAUUCCCAUUAACGGGGUUGAGCGGGCGUAUUAUGCGCCCGCUCUUUUUGUGAAUU